rnacentral:rRNA from 1 species
GUGGGGAAUAUUCCGCAAUGGACGAAAGUCUGACGGAGCAACGCCGCGUGAGUGAUGAAGGUUUUCGGACUGUAAAGCUCUGUUGUUUAGGACGAAAGUGCCUGUUGCAAAUAGUUACAGGUAUUGACGGUACUGAACGAGGAAGCCACGGCUAACUACGUGCCAGCAGCCGCGGUAAUACGUAGGUGGCAAGCGUUGUCCGGAAUUAUUGGGCGUAAAGAGCAUGUAGGCGGGAAUCUAAGUCUGUUGUGAAAAUGCGGGGCUCAACCCCGUAUUGCGAUGGAAACUGGGUUUCUUGAGUGCAGGAGAGGAAAGGGGAAUUCCCAGUGUAGCGGUGAAAUGCGUAGAUAUUGGGAGGAACACCAGUGGCGAAGGCGCCUUUCUGGACUGUGUCUGACGCUGAGGCGCGAAAGCUAGGGGAGCGAACGGGAUUAGAUACCCUGGUAGUCC